GAUGAACGCUGGCGGCGUGCCUAAUACAUGCAAGUCGAGCGAACAGACGAGGAGCUUGCUCCUCUGACGUUAGCGGCGGACGGGUGAGUAACACGUGGAUAACCUACCUAUAAGACUGGGAUAACUUCGGGAAACCGGAGCUAAUACCGGAUAAUAUAUUGAACCGCAUGGUUCAAUAGUGAAAGACGGUUUUGCUGUCACUUAUAGAUGGAUCCGCGCCGCAUUAGCUAGUUGGUAAGGUAACGGCUUACCAAGGCAACGAUGCGUAGCCGACCUGAGAGGGUGAUCGGCCACACUGGAACUGGGACACGGUCCAGACUCCUACGGGAGGCAGCAGUAGGGAAUCUUCCGCAAUGGGCGAAAGCCUGACGGAGCAACGCCGCGUGAGUGAUGAAGGUCUUCGGAUCGUAAAACUCUGUUAUUAGGGAAGAACAAAUGUGUAAGUAACUAUGCACGUCUUGACGGUACCUAAUCAGAAAGCCACGGCUAACCACGUG
rnacentral:rRNA from 1 species